UACGUAGGGGGCUAGCGUUGUCCGGAAUCAUUGGGCGUAAAGAGCGUGUAGGCGGCCCGGUAAGUCCGCUGUGAAAGUCGGGGGCUCAACCCUCGAAUGCCGGUGGAUACUGUCGGGCUAGAGUGCGGAAGAGGCGAGUGGAAUUCCUGGUGUAGCGGUGAAAUGCGCAGAUAUCAGGAGGAACACCAAUGGCGAAGGCAGCUCGCUGGGACGGUACUGACGCUGAGGCGCGAAAGCGUGGGGAGCAAACAGG
rnacentral:rRNA from 1 species